GCGGGGGAGCCGCUGGUGCUGCAGCAGCUGGGAGCUUCUGGAGAAGCUCACGUUGGGGCCGAGGUGCACGCAGCUGCCGCCCGGGCGUCCGUCUGACCCGCGUGGACGUCUGCAGAGUCUGCGAGCGCGGUAGGUGAGCACGGCUGGGCUGUGCUUUCUGGGGCUGUCGGGAGUCUUAGCUGGAAACAAGCAGAACGUGGGAUGCAGUGACGCCUGGUGUCCAGUCGGGCCGACUGAGCCAGGGCUCCUCGGUGUUCUUGCCAUCUAGAUGCCUCGGUUCACUCUCUUGCUUAGUUGAUUAAAUAUGCACGUGUUUAAUGGUCCAUCAGCUCUGACCGGUUCUGAUAUCUUUACACUGACGAGAAUCCCGUGUGUGAUCCGGGCAUUCCAGGAGCGAGCCCAGUGAAGCCAAGCAGACACUCACGGACAAGCGUGCUUAGAUUUCCACACGGUGGUUCUCAUGCCUUCAUUUUCCAUUCCUGACGCUCACACGCGUGGUGUUUUAUAGAUUUGGGGCUGUUUCCACUCGAAUUCUGUAAUGAGGCCUCAGAGAAACUCCACAGACUAAUCGGUGGGGUGCUGAGUGAGCCCGUGACCCAGGACCCACUGUCCUGACACCCCUGGUCUUGCAGGUGAGCAAGGGACUGGCUAGAGCUCGGGGGCAAAGGCGACGCUUUGUGAACUGUCCCUUUGCUAAGCUCCUCUUCACUGCUGACGUACAUGAAAAGGCAGACUGAAUACGUGUACACUCUCACACGUGAGGAGGCAGGGUGUUAAUAAGAUCGGUCGGCCCGCAUCCUGCGUUGCUUUGUGUUGGGCCUCGGUGUAAACUCCUGACCUGUUGUUUGCAACCCUCGCAGCCCCCUUAAAAAGCAAAGACCAUUACCCCCUCGUAACGUGAGGCUCCUGUGCCCAGGGAGGUGGACCCCCCAGCCUGGGGUCACACAGAUUUCAGAGAAUCCACCCAGCCCUUCGGGCCUCGAUUUCCUUUUCCUGGGGUGACGUGUCCCAGGAGACCGCGUGUGUCCCUUCCACCACUUGUCUUGAGACGUCACUUCAUUGACCUUCAGCCUGAUCAGUGGGGAGCAUUCCCUUGACCAGAGGACAAGGGAGACCCCUGCCCUGUCCAUGACCUUGAAGCAUACUCAAGGCUUCUCUUUUUCUUUUGACCGUGAGUGGCUGGGUUGGGAAAUGUGGCUCUUACAAAUAAGACAGACUCAGUCCCCAUCCGGACUGUGAGGAAUGAACCAAUAUUCUCUAUUUACCAAAUGACUUUUAAUUGUUCAAACAUUAUACCUGUUUCAGAGCGUCAUCUCUCUACUCUCUCUGAUGUUUCUGAGGCACUGUCUUCCAAACAUUGUCAUUCCUACUAAUACCAAACUGCCAGAGAAGGCGGUUUUUCAAUUUUAGUUUUCUUCCCCUAGUUAGUAUACACUCAUGUAGAAAAAUUAAAAUGUUAGAAUAUAUUUGUAUGUAAAAUAAAAUCACUGAAAAUACCAGAAUUCAGAAAUAAUUACAAUUAGUAUCUUGGUUUAAAACCUUUGCAAUUGUUUUGUCUGCAUAUGAUUUUAAAGUAAGAUGGCUCAAACCCUAGAUUUUGUUCUUUACUCUUUUCUUGAUGUAUCACACGUAUCUUUCUACUGUGUCUCAGCAAGUACAUUUCCAUAACACCAUGUUUCUUGAUUAAUAGUAUUCCACUUCAUUCCUGUGCUGAAAUACAUCUAAUUGUCUAUUGUAAUUUUAUCAGUUGACUUUUUAAAAUUUUGCGAAACUUUUACAAACAAGUUUUAUAGCCAAUAUUUUACCUAAAAUCUUUACAAUGUUAAUUAUUUCCUUAAUAGACAUUCAUAAUACAAAACCUGGUCAAGAGAUGUGUACGCUUUAAGGCAGUUGAGGAGGACAGCACCUCUAAAAUCCCCCUCCUUUUCCUGUCUUGUCACAUGACUGCCUUCCUCUGCGGUUCUAAAUCAGUGCUUGAAUGGUGCUAGAUGACUUUAUGAAAUCACCUUUAAGAAAAAGUAACCUCACAGUAUGAUAUUUAAGGUUUUGUUUCUAUACAUGGUCUGAAUUCCGAAGAACUCAGUUCCAGAUCCUACGUGUUCAUUCUCCUCUACCUUGAUUGACUGCUCAUACGAAGGGCCCGCCGCUGUAGGCCGUAAGGGAGACCUGCUGCCUGGUGAAUGGCCAGGCGGGGCCCCGGCUGAGGACUCCACGCGGCAGCAGCGGUGGGAAAGGGCCGCCUGCCAGGGCAGGAGGUGCACGAGGUGUGGGUCUGAUCCCGGGGUCGGGAAGACCCCCUGGGGGAGGAAGUGGCAGCCCACUCCAGCAUUCUUGCCUGAAGAACCCCACGGACAGACGAGCCUGGCGGGCUACAGUCCACGGGGUCGCAGAGAGUCAGACACGCCUGAGCGCGCACACACACGCUCUCAUUCUCAGCCGGCGGACGCCGUGACCGCGAGGAGUUGUUUCCCCUAAGCUGCUAGCAGGGCUAAAGGCCCCCCUGAGCUUUUCCAGGCCCACAUCAUGAGAAAGAGCGGUGCCCCGCUCACUGCGCUCUUCUGCAGAGGGUGCGGAGUGGGCUCUUCUCAGCCCUUGGCGCCAGCCCUUGGAAGGCGCUUCCUUACUGCCCAGUUGACUAUGUCCAGGACUGGACGGCCGACUGCCCAGCAAGGUGCUGCUCCGCUGUUGGAGGGUCUUAGUGGUCGCAGUAUUAUUCGUAACACGUUGAGGUGAAGUUACCCUUUCAUGUUUUGGACCUGUUGUUUCCAGUUUUACCUUCUGGAGAGAUAAAGUUCAGUUCAGUCCAAAGAUGCUGUUUAAGAAUCUGCUAUGGGCAGGAACUGCUCCAGCUACAAAGGACGAAUUCCUAUUUCACGGGAUAGUAUUUUGAAUGUUUGAUGAUAGUGACCGUAUUUUCCUAAACAGACUCAUGAAACAACUGUCUCUUUCCAAGGUGGUUGAGUGUUAACUGCACUAAACCUGCUAAGUGUCUGUCAGGCAGCAGCUCUUGGCCUGGUUUCCUGGCCACACUCCUGGGCUCCCUGGGGAGCUGAGGACAGCUGUGCACCCCCACCUUCGUAAGGAUUACCAAAGGUUUUGUUAAAAAGGAAACAAGAGUUGUUUCCCCUAAGCUGCUAGUAAGUGUGACGUGAGGACCCGGUGUGCUCUGCGCAUCAAGCCCACCAGAUAAGCCUGGGAGGACGCCCAAAAUCCCGGGGCUCCGUCUGGCACCUGCCUCCUCCAGCAGGCCCCUCAGCCACCUAACCUGCAGGUGAAGGACAUUGUCACCUCUGCGGGGGCUCUGACCCCAAAACAUGAGGUGCCUUCCACACUCAGGAAACUCCACUGCUGCUCAGACUGGGGUCUGGUUUCUGGAAGAUUCCUCUCACGCAGGCCAAGUGCCUGCCGUGCUGGGGCGGGCACUUCCGACAGCUCUCUGAGGUAGGAAGGGCGACUGUCCCCGUUUCAAAGGGGAGGAUGCAGAAGGCAGGUGCUGGAGGCCUCCAGCAUCAGCUGGACGGGGCGGCGCCCGGGCUGAGGGUGCUGCAGGUGGGGCGGAGAGAGGUCCCCAUCCCAAACCCUGACCCCCAAGGAGCUCCUUGGCUGCCCGGGUGUCUAGAGAUGAACACCCACACUCGGGGCGGCUUCCGUAAGCAUAAAUGCAGAAACCACAGAACGUCGAACCACAAGCAUGUGAGCUGUGCUGUGGUGUAAAUGGUCUCCAACCAGUGUUUCUUUUUUGUGUUAACAUUUUUAAACUUUGUUUAUUUUUAACUGGAGAAUGAUUGCUUUACAGUAUCGGGCUGGUUUCUGCCAUACAUGAGCAUGAGUCAGCCGCAGGCAUACGGGCACCCCUCCCUCUGGAGCCUCCGUCCCACGCCGCCCCACCUCUCUAGGUCACCACCAAGCACUAGUGUGAGCUCCCUCCACCACCCAGCGAAUCCCGCCAGCUGUCCACGCAGCAUGCGGUAAAGUGUGCGCUUCAACGCUGCUUCCUCCAUCUGUGCCCCCGCCCAUUCCCUCAAGGUGUCCACAAGCCUGUACUCUCUGUCUGCGUUGCUAUCACUGCCCUGUGAAUAGGUUCAUCGGUACCAUCUUUCUAGAUUCCAUAUGUAUGUAUGAAUAUACAGUACUUGUUUUUAUCUUUCUGAUUUGCUUCGGUCUGUGUAAUAGGCUCUAGGUUCAUCUACCUCGUUGGAACUGAUUCAGAUAUAUUCUUUUACAGCAGAUUAAUAAUCCAUUUGAUGCGUGUACCAUAACCUCUUUACUCGUCCAUCGGUUGAUGGGCAUCUCGGCUGCUUCCGUGUCCUAAACCGUUGCAAACAGCCCUGCAGUGAGCUCUGGGGUCCGUCAGUCGCUGUUUUCAAGGCUGUCUCCCUUACAUUCCCAAAUCUGAUACCAUGUAAUAUCAUUAUCCUAUGCUUAAAAUCCUCUUUAUAUGAAGAGACUUAGAAAACUCAUACUUUGUAUUUUGGUCCAUGAGUAUAUAUUAAUCAUUGUGAAUAUUUUAUUACUUUUUAAGUUUUCUGGCUAACAAUAUUAUCUUUUCACUUUUUCCCUCUUCUAACGGACAUGAGUUUGAGCAAGCUCUGGGAGAGCUGGUGAUGGACAGGGAAGCCUGGUGUGCUGCAGUCCAUGGGGUCGCAGAGAGUCAGGCAUGACUGAGCGACUGAACUGGAUACUUAUUUUUACCACAUCUCAUAUCUUACCCCUUUCAAAUUCCACAGUUUUCCCACACUAAAGCUUUCGUGUCAUCUACGUCUUGUCCAUCCUUGACUCUGCUGUGUGCUGGACUCUGACUCUUUAGUAAGUAAAUCGUGGAAGUGCAGCCUUGUUACAGCUGUUUCUGAAUAUAAGGGAAGGGGAAGCUGUGCUCAGUGUCCACUUGUUUGAUAAUAUGAACUAGAAAUUCUCAUAAGCACAGAUAAGCAAGAGAGAGAAGCAAUGAAGGCUUUCUCUCAGCUCAAAACUAAGCAGUCAACAAACAUGGAGGGUAAUUGCACCCACAGGGAAGCAGCCCAGCCUGGAGCCCGGUGCGGGGGUAGAGGCUGAAGGACAGCUUGUCUCCUCUGCCGUUCCCUCCUGCUCUCCGUCCUCCCUUCCUGGUCUCUGUCCUCC
ensembl:lncRNA